rnacentral:rRNA from 1 species
UUUGCAUCGAUGAAAAAACGCAGCGAAAUGCGAUAAGUAAUGUGAAUUGCAGAAUUCAGUGAAUCAUCGAAUCUUUGAACGCACCUUGCGCUCCUUGGUAUUCCGAGGAGCAUGCCUGUUUGAGUCUCAUGGAAUUCUCAACCUUCGGCUUUAUUGACGAAGGCUUGGACUUGGAGGUCGUGCCGGCUCUCGUAGUCGGCUCCUCUGAAAUGCAUUAGUGCGAACGUUACCAGCCGCUUCAGCGUGAUAAUUAUCUGCGUUGCUGUGGAGGGUAUUCUAGUGUUCGCGCUUCUAACCGUCUUCGGACAAAUUUCUGAACUCUGAGCUCAAAUCAAGUAGGACUACCCGCUGAACUUAAGCAUAUCAAUAAGGCGGAG